rnacentral:rRNA from 1 species
CAAUAGCGUAUAUUAAAGUUGUUGCAGUUAAAAAGCUCGUAGUUGGAUUUCGGGACGGGCCAGUUGGUCCGCCGCAAGGUGUGUUACUGACUGGUCUGUUCUUCUUCGCAAAGACUGCGUGUGCUCUUCGUUGAGUGUGCGUAGGAUUUACGACGUUUACUUUGAAAAAAUUAGAGUGUUCAAAGCAGGCUAUCGCUUGAAUACAUGAGCAUGGAAUAAUGGAAUAGGACUUUGGUCCUAUUUUGUUGGUUUCUAGGACCGAAGUAAUGAUUAAGAGGGACAAUUGGGGGCAUCCGUAUUUCGUUGUCAGAGGUGAAAUUCUUGGAUUUACGAAAGACGAGCAACUGCGAAAGCACUUGCCAAGAGUGUUUUCAUUAA